GAGCUUGAUGCUCCAUUCCAGCCCUGGCACUAAAACCAGCACCCUGAGCAAAUGCAGAGGGGCUGAAAUGUCAGUAAGAAACUGGCAGGGCUCUACAGCCAUGGUCUGGCUUUGCCAUUCAAAGUUUAUCACUCUGCUGAGGAAGCCUUGAGGAUUCCCAAAGCAAUGAUGUGAAAAUCAAGGAAUGAUAUCUGGGGUGGAUGUGGGAAGAAUGAAGAGAGGAGACCCCACCAGUUCCCUGCAGCAGGUCCUUCCCACGUGGCUCUGUGCUGAAAGCUUGCACCAUGGUCUGCAUUUAUGUGAAAACCUGCUGGGCAGCUGGCUCCACUGGCACUUAAAACUAGACACUGGGAUUGUGAGAAAGUCAAACACAAAUGGAGAUGUAAAAACACAGCUUUGGCUAUCUGCAGGGUGAUGCUAGUGUCUAAAUAACUUGAAGAAUAGUGUGUGCACUUGGAUUUGAAAAACAGAAGUGCAGAUAGAUGCUUAAGCAAUAAAAAAAUAAAAAAAUAAAAAAAAAAAAAUUUUUGUGUGAGUAUAACGUGAGCAAAAGGCAAUGGCAGGUUAUUUUAUACCCUAGAACAAUGAACUCUGGGCAGAUUUCCUCCAGUUCACAUCUGACCUUCAACACUGGGUUAAAUUUUCUCCAGUGAAGGAGGGCAGGCUGCUGGAUGCUCCUUGAGCAGGUAUCCACAAAAGAUGGGGAGGAAAGCUCCCCAUGUGUCACUUCAAGCCAUGCUACAUGUUUAGUUUCUAAAGUCAGGAUAGCUUUCCACUGGAAAGGGAAAUACUGAACUUCCUCAUGAGGGACAAGAGGAGUUACAGUGUUGGAGCUCUAGGCAUUCAUAAUCUGAACCUUUCCUUGAUGCACACAGCACAGGCAUGAGCCUGCUAACCCCUUUUUGACCCUGUUUUGAGUGAAAGGUCAGAUCAGAUGACCUCUUGCUGUCCCUUCCUACAUAAAUUAUUCUAUAACUCUAUCUAAGUGCUUUCUUCUCAAAACUUGCCAUCCUGGACACCAGGACUCCUGACAAAUCACACUAAUAGGGUAAAUACUGGACAUUUUCAAGGAUAGUUUAUUGAAUGUCCAAGAAGGCAUAAUUAUUCAAAUAUGUGCCAAAUUAUGCUGGGCAUAAAAACAUCCUAGUCAGAAGAAAUGUGAAAGCAAAGACAUAAAAAAAAAUACUGAAAAGAGGAAUAGAGGAUGGGAAGAGAAAGGAAGCAACAAUUUGGUGGCCACAGAGAUGACACAGACUGUGUCUGGAGAUUCAUGUUACUGUUAGUGAAUAAUGUUUGGUGGCACUUGAAAGUGGGAGAGGUUUUGAAUGGAUCCAAGGAACCCCCAGAGCCUUUUGAAGCCAGAGGCAGAGAUAAUGAGUCUCUGCAUGUGUUCACUGGUAAGCUGAUAAAUUAAAUUUAGGGAAAAAUAAAACCUUUAAGCCUCCAGAGUUAAAGUUAAUGAAAUCAUUUUUCCAUUCACCCAGAACCUUUGUGGUGCUGGAAGAUCAGACCAAAAAUGGUAGGAAAGGACAACA